rnacentral:rRNA from 1 species
AUGAUUUUAUUUUAUUUUAUUUGUGAAAGACACUUACACAUGUAUACUAAAUUCCACAGCAUUAUACUUUCACAUGUGACGUACAAAAAAAACAAAUACACACUUUUAAAUGUGCCUUUUAUUUUUGUUGUUGGGCCGUUUUUUGUUUUUUGUACAGCCUACAAAUCACAAUAUGUUCAAAUGAAAUUUAACACGUUCUUGCAGAAUACAUAUAUGUUCCCAUGGAUUUUUUUUCUGACUUUUUUGAAACUUUUAAGUAUGUAUUUUGAUGUUUUCAAAAUACUGAGCUUUGGCCAAAGAAAAAGGUCGGGCUCGUUUGCAACCGAGGCAAAAAAAAGAGUCCGGCUCACUUGCAAGUUAUUGAUGAAAUUGCAACUUUGGCCAAAAAAAAAAGGUUAG